UGAGACCCACCAUAGUACAUAACAUCCACAUCAGCUUCAGUUACCACCAGUAGGACCACGAGAGGCUAACCAUGCACCAACGUCAAUUUCCUGAUUCAACCCAACCCAUCUCGCCCCCAUUCCCCUGGAUAGCAUCACGCGCGGAGGCGGCAGCCACCGGCGGUGGCGGCGGCCAGGAGCCCCUCUCACACCCUCAGGCAGGAGCGUUCUACGUGCGGAGAGGCGCCCCUCCGGCAGGACCGCCGGCUCAGCUCACCUCUGAACACUCCGACGCGGCAGCCCGGACCGCCUCUCACACCCCUCAGGCAGGAGGAGCCUUUGCGUGCGGCGCGACGGCCUUCCGGCAGUCCUGCCGGCCCAGCUCCCUCUGCGUGCCGCGCGUCGUCCCUCCGGCAGGACCGCUGGCCUAUCUCCCCUCUGAUUUUCUAACGACUCUCUCGGGCUGUGUCCCCCUUCUCGUGCCCAGCUCCCCUCCCGUUCCGGACAAGACGCAUCUGCCUUCGGUGGGAAGGUCGGAUUCGAUCGGUUCCACCGGAAUCGGACCGCCAGCUGACGUCCGGAGGUGCUCCGUGGCUGGAUUCCCUCUGGUGGGCACUCCGUCCUCAGCCAUGGGAUGCACGCCACUGCUGCCCAUCCCGACUGGGCGGAGGCUCCCUUUUCCUGCAGGUGCUGCCCCGCUGAUUUAGUGCUCAGAAAAUUUUGUUGGCUGUUGAUUUGCUGCCAAGGACGGCAAACUCGACUAUGGCGAUGCCAUCUGUGGACUUCAAGGUGCCUAAUUGAUGUUUGGCGUUCCCUCUUCUAAUAACGUUCGUGACGUUCCACUUCCUCUCCCCACAAUCUCGAGAGAAACUGAUGGAUUUUUGCCCUAUAAAGUCUACUACACCUAAGUACCUCACCUCAUUUUGUAUCAUCGUCCUCCAGUACGGGUGGGUCUCUCCCAGAAUUCUCAUACUGCAGCCGGUUGUGCGUGCUUGACGACACCCCGGUAGCUAUCUUCGUUUGUCUUCCCUCACUGCAUACACAAACGAAUUCGAUUUCUACCUCCUACUGCUCAAACUGUGCCAGUGUUUUAAAAAUGUCAGACCAUUUUUGGUUGAAGGCCUGGGCACUCUGCCUCCGAAUAAGUGGUGCCUACAUGAUGAAAUUUUUUGCUUGGCCAAACUAGCCUUGUGGGUGAACGUUUCGUUCUUGACCUUGCUUGCUGCUAUGUCGUUCAGUGAGGCCAAUCAACGUAUUUACAUUUUCUUUCCAAGUAAGCCAUCCAAACAAUCACCACGCCCAAAUCUUACAUCCAUGUGCUAUAUUAAUACAUACAGUAACUGCUUAAUUUACUGGUGAUUAGAAUCACAAUAUAAAUACCAUUUAUGACUUUCUAUACAGUCACUGCUAUUUUUUUAAUACCAUUCACUGCUAAAUUAGUUUUUUUUUGCGGGGCACUGCUAAAUUAGUUGUGUAUUAAUAAUUCUUAAAACAACAUCGCUUGGUUACAAUUUUUUUUUCUGCCCCACAUCUAUAUAUAACAGCACCCGUAGCAUUCUAUCUGUAGAAGUUCAUCUUCCCUACACCUAAAUAUUGACUUUUACAAACUACAUGGACAACCAGCAGGAAGGCAACAGCAUGCGAUCUCAUGCACCAAGAAAAGUUUUGCCACCUUCAUCAACGCAACAAACAAGAGAAAGACACAAAGACUACAUAGCGGCUGUUACAAAGAUGAAGAAUGCUACAAAAACGCCAACAACCAGCAUAUCAUUUCUUUUUUCUUUUUCUUUUGCGAGUAACCAGCAUCUCAUUUCAACACGACACCACAAAGGAUCAUCCAUCCAGGGCUGGAAAAUACAUCUUUGAGUACAUCAAGAAAGGAAUCCCAGAUGUACAAUUCGUUCACAAGGAAGAAGAUAUUGUGCUAUUUAUCCUAUGAAACUGUUAUACAUCUAUCAAAUAAUCAAGUAAAAUAAAUUCAUUAUUA